AGCGGCGGACGGGUGAGUAAUGCUUAGGAAUUUGCCCAGUCGAGGGGGACAACAGUUGGAAACGACUGCUAAUACCGCAUACGCCCUACGGGGGAAAGCAGGGGCUCUUCGGACCUUGCGCGAUUGGAUAAGCCUAAGUGAGAUUAGCUAGUUGGUGAGGUAAUGGCUCACCAAGGCGACGAUCUCUAGCUGGUUUGAGAGGAUGAUCAGCCACACUGGGACUGAGACACGGCCCAGACUCCUACGGGAGGCAGCAGUGGGGAAUAUUGCACAAUGGGCGAAAGCCUGAUGCAGCCAUGCCGCGUGUGUGAAGAAGGCCUUCGGGUUGUAAAGCACUUUCAGCGAGGAGGAAAGGUUGACGGUUAAUACCCGUCAGCUGUGACGUUACUCGCAGAAGAAGCACCGGCUAACUCCGUGCCAGCAGCCGCGGUAAUACGGAGGGUGCGAGCGUUAAUCGGAAUUACUGGGCGUAAAGCGCAUGCAGGCGGCCAAGUCAGUCAGAUGUGAAAGCCCCGGGCUUAACCUGGGAAUUGCAUUUGAAACUGCUUGG
rnacentral:rRNA from 1 species